CCAGAUAAAUGACUUAUCGCUUUAAUUAGUUUUAAAGAGGAAAGUCCGGGCUCUACAAAGACGCAGUGCCAGUUAAUAGCUGGCGGGGGCAACCCCAGGGAUAGUGCCACAGAGAAUAGACCGCCUGAUCAAGGCAAGGGUGAAAAGGUGCGGUAAGAGCGCACCGGCUGUUUGGUAACAAACAGCGCAUGGAAAACCCCACUGAGAGCAAGACCAAAUAGAGAUGGCAUGGCCUUUUGGCCGAAAACAGUUCUUAGUUAGCUAUCUGGGUUGGUUGCUAGAGGCUGAAUGUGAAUUUAGUCCCAGACAAAUGACUAAUUUGAAUGACAGAACCCGGCUUAUAGAUUGUCUGGCGUC
rnacentral:RNase_P_RNA from 1 species